rnacentral:RNase_P_RNA from 1 species
GGAGUAGAACAGAUGGCCGCUGCCCUGUGGUUAAAGCAGGGGAGAGGAAAGUCCGGGCUCCGAAGGACAAGGUGCUGGGUAACACCCAGUCCCGGUGACGGGAAGGAAAGUGCCACAGAAAGCAAACCGCCCUGAAGGAUAGGCUUUGUAUCCGACAGGGUAAGGGUGAAAGGGUGAGGUAAGAGCUCACCAGUCUCUCCGGUGACGGAGAGAGCUAGGUAAACCCCACCUGGAGCAAGACCAAAUAGGGGAACGUCCGAGGGUGGUCCGCCCGAGUUCCCGGGUAGGUCGCUUGAUUCCGCCGGAAACGGCGGAACUAGAUGAAUGGCCAUCGUCCCGGCAGCGGGUGACCGUUCCGGGAAACAGAACCCGGCUUAUGGGCUGCUCCGGCA